CAAAUUAUCCGCUUUUACAUCUGC
rnacentral:siRNA from 1 species